AAGCAGCAGACCUGGCACAAGAAAUGAAGAGAGAGCUCAGUGUAUUAAAGAUGAAAACAAGAAAACCGAAUAUAUUGAAAGGAGCAGAGAGGCAAUGAAAACAAGACAACUGAAAUGAGGACUUUGCCAAAAGCUUCAAGAAGUAGCCAACAUAACUCAACAUCCAAAAUGUCUCCUGCCAUUUCCCUUAACACUACAGCCUCAGCUGGCACGUGAUUGGAAUCUCAAGGCAUGACAAGCAAGAGUCCAACGCAAAUGUCUUGCCGCCACCCAGCAAGUGUUACAGACAUCCAGCCUAUUCUAGCUGGACCCUCACUGCUCUCUGCCCUGCCACCUCAACUCAGCCAUUCUGUAUUUUCAGAUAUUAUCUGUGCUGCUCUAUUUACUGCAACUAAAUUCAAAGGAAUGUGUUUGGCUACAAGUAACAGAGGAUAGGUCAAUAAAAAGGAUUUUAUUUAGUCUACAAGAAAUCUGGACAAAGGUGGUUCCAGGAGUGGGAGGAGGACAAAGGCGGAGAGCGAUUUGGAGCACAGCCAGACAGCAGCGUUUGCCAUGGGAUCAUGCCUAUUGAUCUUAGUUUUCCAACCUCCAACUUGGAAAUAGAUAAACCAUCUGUCUUCCCUUCCUGGGGAGUAGCAGGUUAUGAAUAAAUUAUGCUGCCAGA
rnacentral:lncRNA from 1 species